UAAAAUAACAUUGAAAGAAAAUUAAUGGUGAUAAUAUGAUUGAAAGAAGAGCACAAAAUGAAGCACACAAGGAGGAGCAGGAGUGUGGGAGGAACCCCGCCUUGUUCAAGAAGUACCGUAGUAGAAUGGAGAGGUAAAUGUUUAAGGAAUCUGGGAAAUGUUCGAUUACUUGAUGAGUUAUAGGGGUGAAAGGUCGCAAUUUGAAUUGGGGAAAGAAUAUA
ensembl:ncRNA C37E2.9 ncRNA